rnacentral:rRNA from 1 species
UACGGAGGGUGCAAGCGUUAUUCGGAUUUACUGGGUUAAAGGGUGCGUAGGCGGACUUUUAAGUCAGUGGUGAAAUCCCCGAGCUUAACUCGGAAACUGCCAUUGAUACUAUUAGUCUUGAAUUCGGUCGAGGUUGGCGGAAUGUGUCGUGUAGCGGUGAAAUGCUUAGAUAUGACACAGAACACCGAUUGCGAAGGCAGCUAGCUAGACCGACAUUGACGCUGAGGCACGAAAGCGUGGGGAGUCAAACAGGA